CGCUCGACCCAUGUUCCCGGCGCGUUCCGCUAGAUCGUAGUUCAAGUCUUUAAUUUGGGAAAGGUUACCGUUCUCAACCAUUAGCGCUAAUCAUAAGAAGGAGAGAUUCACCUUGUUGCUCGGAUGACGGGUCUUCCCGUGCCACUUUUGGAGUAGCUGGUUCCUGAUGAUCUCAUCCAAACUUAUUAUCAUCAUCGUUUUUGAAGUACAAGCGAAUAAGAGAUGGAUGCACCAAAAACACUUACCAAUUGAUUCCCGGGACCAAGCCCUGCCUCAGUCACCACGAGCAAGAAAACGGGUUGGUUUCACCACCACAUACUGUCAAUAGUCUCAAACACCUGCAAAGAUUAGUCAAAAUGCAUCACCACACAGUCUCAAGAGAAACUUAUGAUGUCCUGGGAGGUGAGCAAACACCAAUUGGGAACAUCGAAACGGUCAAUGACAACCCGAGAACCGCCUCGCCAAUUGCCACCCUUGAUAACCAAAGGCCGGUUACUUUGCUGAGUAGACCCAACUCCAGUGUCGACAUAGGUAGAUACAUUCAGUUUAAACCAGAGGCCCGACUCCAUAAUCUAAAGCCGUCACCUUCACUUGGGAGAAAUAGACAGCACGCCGUGUAGAGGAGGAAUGAAGGGAUGAGGCUGAACCAGUAGCUACGAAGAGACCCAUAGACGACCCCUUGUUCAGCUACCAAUUUGACCCACACACGCCUAAACUAAACCAAGUUCCAACUCCUUAUGUGAGUUGCGGUUCAAGACAUGUCUGUAAGGAAAAUGACACUCCAGAGCUCGCGUGACUACGGGAAGGAGGAGUUAGGCCUCACCGACACCGGAAAAGACCAACGACCAACCCCUGUUAUCGAUUGCAACCACCAGACGAGAACGGCAUGAGAAAACCGCUUAGUCGAAGGAUGACACAACCCACAUCUCCCUGUAAACGGCAAUGAAACUAGAACAGGUCUCGAGAGUAAAAACCGAUAUGUUCUACAAAUCCUAAGAGCCGACUACCGUCACGACCACCGCUUCAAAACCUCACCGCGAAGUCAGACAUAACAGAGACACAUCCGAUUCGAAACUACUCGCGAGCAGAGUACUUGCCGAAGAGAAACCCUUGCCCAGAUCACACGAGAAUAUCAGAAAAGAGCAGAGAUCGAUAGAGUAGAAACCGGUGAACAUGAAUAAAGAAGAAGGAAAUCCUCCGGCGAUGCACGCACUCUCACGCGUCGCCGGUGAAAAGCUUUGAAGAUUGUGUAACAUCCCGAGUUGUUAUAUAUGGAAAAUGAUUAAUAGGAUUGAUUUGGCUACCUAUGUCACUAAAGUUGGCUUACUUAUUCCGUUACACAUCUGUUUAGAACUCCAUAGUUAAGUGUGCUUGGGCUGGAGUAGUGAAAGGAUGGGUAUCUAUUCGUAAGUGAUUCGCGAUACCGUGCGAGUGAGGCCUAAGCACGGGGAAAGGUCGGGUGGUGAUUGCAGGGUCAGUAAACAAUUAUUUCAAACCUUUGGAAAAUUUACGCACCGGCUGUUGGAACGAGAUGAUCCCACGGGCCGAAAAAGCUGGCGUGUAUGACCUAUUAGCCAUAGACGGUUGGAGCGUUAUAGAGUGGUUGGUCAAAAGGAGAGAGGUGAUAGCGAUAAAAAGUAGAGAGAGAAAGAUCGAGUCAUAAUCUCAAAUGUUCUUAAUGAGGCAAAAAGUAUUCUGGCAUACUCUUAUGAAUUCUGGCGUACUCUUGUCUAUUCUGAUACUCUUCAAAUCGAUGGGCAAAGUCGAAAGUGCCCCUCUCUAUAUGACCAAUUAAAAGAAAGCGCAUUUUCUCUCUCUCUUUCUUCUGUACAGGUGGAUUUCUUAUUCGGAUUUAUUGUUUCUCUCUCCUCCAAUACGGGUUUGGCGCUUCACGAGAGGAGCUCUCAUGUCCUGAAACCGAAAUCAACGAUUCUUCAAUCCUAAAGGAUACUGCAGGCUGCUCGCUUGGAUGCUGAAUUAUUGAGCAAAGGAUCCCCAACCCAUGUCAAAUCAACUUCAGGUAAAGCAUUAUAUUGGUAUGUAUCUUAUAACCCCAUCAAAGUGGAAUGAAAUGCUCGUUCGGUUAAUUAGACAGUAGAUUUCAUAUUAUAUUUGGGUUGUCAAUUAGGGGAGAAUGGGAAAGUGUGGGUGUCGGGUGGUGUGUGGAAUUGGAUAAUCAACAAGAAAAUUCGGGAAUCAAAGAUGAAUUUCCCGAAUGAAUAGUGUGAAACUGGCAGACUAGAAAAGUGUAAGUAGGUGAAACUUUACUCCCUGACAAAAAUGUGUAACAAGAUAUAACUUAUUAUAACUUCAAUAGCAAAAUUGUAUUACUAGGAUUAACUUUAAGAGUUUAAUUUUUUUUUGUACAACAUAUAAUGGGUUAUUCUUCUACAAACAUACACUUUGACUAUGAUGGACAUUAUAAGAAAUCUGGAGAUGAUUUUGAAUGGAUUCCAAGCGAUGGUCGUUUGUAUGCUAUAUUCUUUAAGACAGCAUCAUUGGAUGAGAUCACUUAUUCGUUUUUGAAGGAGAGGAUAUGUAAGAAGAAGACCAUGGAUCCAUGUAUAAAGAGGCUGAUUCUGAGUUACAUUCCACUAGUAGUAGAACCU
rnacentral:lncRNA from 1 species